rnacentral:tRNA from 5 species
GCGGUCGUCGUCUAGUCUGGUCUAGGACGUUGGCCCCCCGCGCCAACGACCCGGGUUCAAAUCCCGGCGACCGCA